UCCGUAGGUGAACCUGCGGAAGGAUCAUUACCGAGUGUAGGGUUCCUAGCGAGCCCAACCUCCCACCCGUGUUUACUGUAACCUUAGUUGCUUCGGCGGGCCCGCCGUUUACGGCCGCCGGGGGGCAUCAGCCCCCGGGCCCGCGCCCGCCGGAGACACCACGAACUCUGUCUGAUCUAGUGAAGUCUGAGUUGAUUGUAUCGCAAUCAGUUAAAACUUUCAACAAUGGAUCUCUUGGUUCCGGCAUCGAUGAAGAACGCAGCGAAAUGCGAUAACUAGUGUGAAUUGCAGAAUUCCGUGAAUCAUCGAGUCUUUGAACGCACAUUGCGCCCCCUGGUAUUCCGGGGGGCAUGCCUGUCCGAGCGUCAUUGCUGCCCAUCAAGCACGGCUUGUGUGUUGGGUCGUCGUCCCCUCUCCGGGGGGGACGGGCCCCAAAGGCAGCGGCGGCACCGCGUCCGAUCCUCGAGCGUAUGGGGCUUUGUCACCCGCUCUGUAGGCCCGGCCGGCGCUUGCCGAACGCAAAACAACCAUUCUUUCCAGGUUGACCUCGGAUCAGGUAGGGAUACCCGCUGAACUUAAGCAUAUCAAUAAGCGGAGGA
rnacentral:rRNA from 1 species